rnacentral:rRNA from 1 species
UACGUAGGGUGCGAGCGUUGUCCGGAAUUAUUGGGCGUAAAGAGCGUGUAGGCGGCCACGCAGGUCCGUUGUGAAAACUGGAGGCUCAACCUCCAGCUGUCGACGGAAACCGUAUGGCUAGAGUCCGGAAGAGGAGAGUGGAAUUCCUGGUGUAGCGGUGAAAUGCGCAGAUAUCAGGAGGAACACCAAUGGCGAAGGCAGCUCUCUGGGACGGUACUGACGCUGAGACGCGAAAGCGUGGGGAGCGAACAGG